rnacentral:rRNA from 1 species
AAAGAAGGUAAUAAUCCUGUAGUCGAAAAUGUUGUCUCUCUUGAGUGGAUCCUGAGUACGACGGAGCACGUGAAAUUCCGUCGGAAUCUGGGAGGACCAUCUCCUAAGGCUAAAUACUCUCUAGUGACCGAUAGUGAACCAGUACCGUGAGGGAAAGGUGAAAAGCACCCCGGAAGGGGAGUGAAAUAGAACCUGAAACCGUGUGCUUACAAGUAGUCAGAGCCCGUUAAUGGGUGAUGGCGUGCCUUUUGUAGAAUGAACCGGCGAGUUACGAUUUGAUGCAAGGUUAAGCAGUAAAUGUGGAGCCGUAGCGAAAGCGAGUCUGAAUAGGGCGUUUAGUAUUUGGUCGUAGACCCGAAACCAGGUGAUCUACCCUUGGUCAGGUUGAAGUUCAGGUAACACUGAAUGGAGGACCGAACCGACUUACGUUGAAAAGUGAGCGGAUGAACUGAGGGUAGCGGAGAAAUUCCAAUCGAACCUGGAGAUAGCUGGUUCUCUCCGAAAUAGCUUUAGGGCUAGCCUCAAGUGAUGAUUAUUGGAGGUAGAGCACUGUUUGGACGAGGGGCCCCUCUCGGGUUACCGAAUUCAGACAAACUCCGAAUGCCAAUUAAUUUAACUUGGGAGUCAGAACAUGGGUGAUAAGGUCCGUGUUCGAAAGGGAAACAGCCCAGACCACCAGCUAAGGUCCCAAAAUAUAUGUUAAGUGGAAAAGGAUGUGGCGUUGCCCAGACAACUAGGAUGUUGGCUUAGAAGCAGCCAUCAUUUAAAGAGUGCGUAAUAGCUCACUAGUCGAGUGACACUGCGCCGAAAAUGUACCGGGGCUAAACAUAUUACCGAAGCUGUGGAUUGUCCUUUGGACAAUGGUAGGAGAGCGUUCUAAGGGCGUUGAAGCAUGAUCGUAAGGACAUGUGGAGCGCUUAGAAGUGAGAAUGCCGGUGUGAGUAGCGAAAGACGGGUGAGAAUCCCGUCCACCGAUUGACUAAGGUUUCCAGAGGAAGGCUCGUCCGCUCUGGGUUAGUCGGGUCCUAAGCUGAGGCCGACAGGCGUAGGCGAUGGAUAACAGGUUGAUAUUCCUGUACCACCUAUAAUCGUUUUAAUCGAUGGGGGGACGCAGUAGGAUAGGCGAAGCGUGCGAUUGGAUUGCACGUCUAAGCAGUAAGGCUGAGUAUUAGGCAAAUCCGGUACUCGUUAAGGCUGAGCUGUGAUGGGGAGAAGACAUUGUGUCUUCGAGUCGUUGAUUUCACACUGCCGAGAAAAGCCUCUAGAUAGAAAAUAGGUGCCCGUACCGCAAACCGACACAGGUAGUCAAGAUGAGAAUUCUAAGGUGAGCGAGCGAACUCUCGUUAAGGAACUCGGCAAAAUGACCCCGUAACUUCGGGAGAAGGGGUGCUCUUUAGGGUUAACGCCCAGAAGAGCCGCAGUGAAUAGGCCCAAGCGACUGUUUAUCAAAAACACAGGUCUCUGCUAAACCGUAAGGUGAUGUAUAGGGGCUGACGCCUGCCCGGUGCUGGAAGGUUAAGAGGAGUGGUUAGCUUCUGCGAAGCUACGAAUCGAAGCCCCAGUAAACGGCGGCCGUAACUAUAACGGUCCUAAGGUAGCGAAAUUCCUUGUCGGGUAAGUUCCGACCCGCACGAAAGGCGUAACGAUUUGGGCACUGUCUCAACGAGAGACUCGGUGAAAUCAUAGUACCUGUGAAGAUGCAGGUUACCCGCGACAGGACGGAAAGACCCCGUGGAGCUUUACUGUAGCCUGAUAUUGAAAUUCGGCACAGCUUGUACAGGAUAGGUAGGAGCCUUUGAAACGUGAGCGCUAGCUUACGUGGAGGCGCUGGUGGGAUACUACCCUAGCUGUGUUGGCUUUCUAACCCGCACCACUUAUCGUGGUGGGAGACAGUGUCAGGCGGGCAGUUUGACUGGGGCGGUCGCCUCCUAAAAGGUAACGGAGGCGCUCAAAGGUUCCCUCAGAAUGGUUGGAAAUCAUUCAUAGAGUGUAAAGGCAUAAGGGAGCUUGACUGCGAGACCUACAAGUCGAGCAGGGUCGAAAGACGGACUUAGUGAUCCGGUGGUUCCGCAUGGAAGGGCCAUCGCUCAACGGAUAAAAGCUACCCCGGGGAUAACAGGCUUAUCUCCCCCAAGAGUUCACAUCGACGGGGAGGUUUGGCACCUCGAUGUCGGCUCAUCGCAUCCUGGGGCUGUAGUCGGUCCCAAGGGUUGGGCUGUUCGCCCAUUAAAGCGGUACGCGAGCUGGGUUCAGAACGUCGUGAGACAGUUCGGUCCCUAUCCGUCGUGGGCGUAGGAAAUUUGAGAGGAGCUGUCCUUAGUACGAGAGGACCGGGAUGGACAUACCUCUGGUGUACCAGUUGUCGUGCCAACGGCAUAGCUGGGUAGCUAUGUGUGGACGGGAUAAGUGCUGAAAGCAUCUAAGCAUGAAGCCCCCCUCAAGAUGAGAUUUCCCAACUUCGGUUAUAAGAUCCCUCAAAGAUGAUGAGGUUAAUAGGUUCGAGGUGGAAGCAUGGUGACAUGUGGAGCUGACGAAUACUAA